UUUUGAGGGGGGCGAACCAAAUUAAGGUAUUUGAAGAUGGACUGCUCAUCUCUAACUACUUAGCUAACAACAGGGAACUAAAGAUGAAAAAAGCUCAAUGGCAGGGCCAUGUGGCACACUUGGUGGCAUGUGUACAAUAUAGCCUAAAGUCACUUCACCAUUAUUCGUACAUUUACCAUUUUUUUUGUGAAAUCUCUAUUUUUAAGGUGCUCCUCAAGUUCCUGUAGUUCGGCCUGAGUUUGCGCCUGCAGUAACUCGACACUAGCUUCCCCAGGGUCCCCAUGUCGAUUUGCCCGUAGCAAUAAUAGAGCCUCUCUCUGAUUCUGCUCAACAGUCUCAAGCCUUCGGAGCAGAACCUCCAAUGUCGCUGUAAAAAAAAUAUGUUGAGAUCAGAGGAGUGUAUUUAGUAGUAUUUGGUGUCAUUUGCAUACAGUGCAAUACAGUUCAAUACAUGUAUUACCGUUGAUAUUCUUUGCCCAGAUUGGUAUGGUUUCUCUCUCUCUUCGGUCACCUAAGUAAUGUGUAUAAAGCAUAAUGUGUAGGGUUAGUAUAGACAGAUGACUGUCAUAACUUGUUGAUAAGAGUUACUAGUUUGGUUUUAACCACCCUCUCCACCCGCCACUUUACCGUCCCCAGUAGAGAUAGGCAAUGGCGUUUCAAAUGAAGACGCAAUCGAAUCAUCUGCAGGAAGUACAAAAUAAUAAUUCAAUGUUUUUUUUGGUUUCAAACUCUUUGUUGUCUUGGCUCAUAGAAUUACUGUUAUGUCAUCAUCAUUCGUCAUCAUUACCCUACAUAACUUUACCAUCAUUUUCUGUAAAAUCGUCUCUUGCCGGUGAAUGAGGGGAGUAAUCUACAGAAAGAACAAGAUAAGAAUUUAGGUUAUGUGUUUUUGUUUCGAAACAUAGUGUCUUCUUGACUUCUAUGCAAUUAUUUGUAUUUGUUUUUAACCAUCAUUCCCUUGCAAAACUCUACCGUCAUCAGUCACAGGGGGUGAAGAUAUUUGUAGUGCGCUACGCCGUGGAAUGGGGGAUUCUAUCUGGGGUGGAGGAGGAAGGGAAGUCCUGAAAUGUGGACCUUGUCCUGCCUUUUUCCCAUUUCGUUUCUUUGUUUUCUUUUCACCUGAACAGAAUUAUAUUAGCCGAAAGUAAAUAACAGUGUUACAUGUUUACACAUUGUUUAGAAUUGCUGCUUGCACUUUUAACACUAAGUUAAUACAGUACACAAGGAUGUGCAGAUAUACCGGUGUGAAUCAAUUUUUGGGGUUUGACUAUGAUGCGCCUCCCUGUGUCCUCAUUUCCUGUCUCCACACAGGACUUUGUCUCCGCCCUCUUGUUCCUCCUGACGGCCUGAUCCCAAUCAUCUAAACAGUCAGGUGGGCCAAAACAAUUAGAAAUUACACUCUUUUAAAUGUGUUGCAUGUCACCACUUGUUAUUUGUCGCCCAUUAACACACCUGUUGAGGAAAAUAUUUUUAUUGGCCUUUUUAGCCAGGUUUUAGGAUCGGGCAAAUCUUUGUCCUUUGCCCUCUGUGUGGGCUUGUGGAGUGGCCAGUAGCUGCAUGUCUUCUGAAAUGGAAAACAAAAUAGUUUUGCAGAACUUGCAUAGAAUUUUUGAAAUGAUUGACAUAAAGGUUUUUCGCAUGUACUUACAUCUCCCUCUUUUAUAAUCCAAUUACUGGCCACUAUGCCAACAGUCCUUUCCCCCAAAAAUUCGACGAUGCUAUACAUUCUGUAAUCAAGAACAGAGAGGUUAAUUUAAUACAGUAAAGAAUAAUUGUGUCUGUACAAGAAAUUGCAAUGAUAAUACACUGAGCAAAAUACAACAUACUGCAAUGUCAUGAAGAAUGGCCAUGAAGAGGAUUUUUUCCCCCACAGGAAUCUUGAUUGCCUUUCUUUUCAGGUUGUCAUUUUGGAUCCAUCUCAAAACGGUGUCAUUGUUCUUGUACUUCAGUACUCCGAUUAAUGUGGAGUCACAAGGGACACUGAAAAGUGGUUCUGGGUGCUGGUAUACACGGCAAAGCUGGCUUCCGUCCCUCUCCUCUAUGACCUCGCAGCAUUCGCGGCGAUUCAAAAUAAAAGAAGAAUUGGACCUCUGCCUACCAUGCUCCAUUGGCUGUCCAGCGCAUUCCUCAAGCCUUUUCACCACUUGUGACAGGGGGCAUCUUCCACUCCUUACCAUCCUCUUUAUUUUCUUGAGACAAUUUUCAAAUUUAAAAGCGCUACAAUUGUCCAAUCCUCCAAAGGUCACGGCAUCCUCCACAAUGUGCAACAUUGAGUGCACGUUGUAGACCAGAAACUGGUUACCAUAAAGUUCUCGGCCUCUCUCAACAAAGAAUCGGAGGAGAUCAGCAGCAUAUCUCCAGUGUUGCUCGACCAAUGCUGGACUUACAAGUAUGUUCAUUGCCACACUGAAUGUCAUGAAGUGGCUGAAAAAUUCAUCUUUAAGGACCCCCUUCAGCACAAUCUUUCCUGUAUAUAACAUAAACUGCCUAUGUUCCGUUGCCUUCCAUCUCUCAAGCUCUUUAAGAUCUCUCGGUUUGCGAGCGAAGCUGGAAGGGAUGUGUGGACGGAGGUUGGUGAGCCUGCUGCUGACCUCCUCUAUUUGGGUUGCCGACAUCUUCAGGCCCUUCACUCCUCUGCACCACAUGAAGAGAAGCCUCUUCAUGACACCCAAGCAUGCCUGGUGCAUGUAAUCGAUGGGAAAUGCACUGAUCAUGUUUAUGGGUAAAUCCAAAAGCGGGGUGCUGCCAUGAUGAUGCUCGCCCUGUGUCUGUUGGCGGAAGGAGUCGUCACUACGAGCCACCACCUCUGUGUCUUGGCCACUGGACAGGAGGUUGUUGACAUCCAUCACCAUGUCUUCCAGGAAUUCCAGAUUCUGUGGUUUCGAACCUCCACAAGUAAGGGUGAUAGGGAAGACUGACACUGGUUUUAAAUGGACAGCACAAAGGAUGGGCCACAUUGUUCUUCCUGAGCUCUUAAACAGAGGAAAAUGGACAUACUCCAUACCAGACUUUGAUGUGAUCCUGACCUCCCUUGGUGUCUUCAGAAGUGUCCUGGUGGUGGAAGGCAGGUCAGUGUGUCCGUGACCUCUCAAAACUUUCAAAAGGUCAUCAACAGCAUUGUGUUUCACCUGAAACUGGCAAGCCCAGCUAGCGAGGUCAGAUGCGAGCGAUGCCGGACGCUGGUCGGACGCCUCCAGGUCAUCCCCAAAAACCUCUUCCUCCUCAUCAUCAGAGGGAUCAACAUCCAUCCAGUCAUCGAGGUCAUCCUCCAAAGCAGAACGAUCCUCAAAUGACUCAUCCAAGUCCAAGGAGUUGUCCAUGUCACCAACAGGCGCAAGAACACCGGAUGGACUGCUGGACAAGCUGGCAUCAGCCACAUGGUGUUCUGUGACACAAACACUGGCAGUGCUUUCAGCUAUCCUAUUCAUCACUUGUUUAGCAGAUCUCCAUGAACGGAGGUACUGCCUUGCCCGUAACUGUUUUUCCUCACUCAUCCUGUGAAAUAAAAUGUUUCACAUUUUAACGUGUGAUUGAGGUUUCAAUACAAUCUAGCCAUAAACUGUCUUAUAGCAGGCUUCAGACCAAAGAUUUGUGAUGCAAAUGCGGGCUUCAGACCAAAGAUUAGCGAUGAAAAUACAUGCAACAGGGUUCACACCCAUGCAACUUCUAUCAACAUCACCACCGUUUCCAUAACGACACCUUUACUAUCCCACUUGUUUUUACUAACUAGCUUGCUGGUAACGUUAACCAAUAAAGCUGUAGCAUACUUGGAAUACUUGUUACGCGACUGAUGUUUUGCAAACAGUAGCGUUCCUUACGCAAAGUGGAUAAUUAUUUUCUCCUACUCUCCUAAUAAUAUCGUGAAGCCUCUGCUGGCCUUGACUGACGUGAGUGGCAAGACGUCAUCAGCACUGAAGUAAAAGUGUUCUAAAACCAACUGUCUUAUGACGACUUGCAACGUUCAAUUCACACUGCUGCAACUUCUAUCUACAACGGUUUUGUUACGUUGCAUUGUGAAUCUUUGUUCUGAAUUGGCUUUUCAAGGCUGACAAGGCUUUAUACACAUACCUGACAAGAAUGAGGUCAACGGGGACUGGAGGGAAUGAUCUAUGAUGCAAAAAGAAAUGCAUAGGAAAUUAAUGUAAUUGUGUUAAACUUUUAAACAGUACAGUUCAUGAUACAUAUACAGUGUGAAACAGUACAGGACUAGGCCUAGGUUUUGUGCAGGUAAAGAAGAAGAUGGGAAUUUGUAAAUUCAUCUUAAAUCAAAACUGAAAGGUCCUACAAAACAUUGGGGUUUAAACACAGGUGGUUUAAUGGCACCAUAUUCUGGAUUUGCAUGACCUUUGUAUUGCAAUUGCAAAUUGCAUCUCUAGUUCAGGAUUACUAUUAUUAGCCUAUUAGUGAUUGGUGGAUUUCUUUAAAAUUGACUGACAACAAGUGAUCUCUGGUCGAUUUUUAUUUCAUUUUUUAGAACUUGACGUCACACAAGCGUCAAUCGAGUACUCGUUCAUAUUUCCUCCUAGACUGGGUAUGAUAUUUUUUUCGUAGGAUAAGUCCCGGAUUCUCGCCUCUGAUUGGCUAGAAGGGCUCUCCUUUAAAUCGUGUUUCGAUUAGUCCUAGAUGUUUGCGGGAGUUUAUGGUAAGGAUUAGGGGUUAACCCAUUUGAACUACGCCAGUUGAUCGCGCCUCUUUUGACGGCAGCCUCCCCAGACCGACGCGCAAUCUAUGAUUGCCAGGCUAAUUUCCUCCUAUUCCCGCCAACACUUCACGGUGGGGACCCAGACCUACUGAUACGUGGUCGUUUUCGCUUGAAAUCCUCAAUAAGGUAAAUUAAGAUUACCAUUGGUGGCAUUUAGUCUGCAGAGAGAGGGACACAUAGCUAAACAAAUGCUUAUGAACUUCUUGCAGUUUGGUACAACACCUUCUGCCAACUGCUACCUAUUAGAUUUCGCUACCUACUUCGGCGCAUGCGCAUGACAUGCGUAACAUUGUAAAAUACAUACUAUACCCCUGAAAUCUCCAAUAAAGACAUUUUAAUACAGCAUACAAUUAUGCUCCCCAUAUUCUUAUGUGUCAGGUAGCGUAUUUCAUCUGUAGACCAACUGCCUCUAUCAAACGAUGCUCCCACUACAGAAUCACGUUAUUGUACACCACUAACCCCAUGUAUACUGUAAGAAUAUGGGGAUGAUAAUUUGAUACUGUAUUAUUAUAACGUCUUUAUUGGAGAUUUCAGGGGUACUGUAUGUGUAUUUUACACCAAUACCACAACGCGGAAUCAAUAGCGUAAUCAUGCGCAUGCGCAGAACAGACCAGGAAGCACAAUAUGAUAGAAGAAAUUGGCAGAACACCCUGCUUGACGGAGUAAAAGAAGACAUGGCGAGGAACGGAAAGCUACGGGACCGAACUGAAGACGCUGGGAUCCACCAUUUAAGAGACAUCCGGAAUCAACAGGACAUCUUCACAACCCUGACUCGGCAGCGACAGUUGAGCCAGUCUCUCUGCAGCUUAAGGACAACUUCAGCUUGAUCGAAAACUGGGGGGCAAUUCGUAUAAUAAUAGGAUAAAAACACCAGAUUUGGUGUUUUAAGGUUUAUUAGUCUGAGGUUUAAUUAAUGUAUCAAAGCAACACAGCACUCGUGAUCGUGGGGUGGCUAUCUGGGCCACUCGACAUCAGAACCUCGAGUUUGCAGCCUCAACAAAACACCCGUGAUUAUAUCAUUGCCCAACCCCACUCUCACUCGCACAAUUUCAAAUUGCAUUGAUGACCUUAUUUCAGCCUUGGUUACCGAAUACUAAGAUUAAACUCAGGUUGAUUGUCAGUUCAGUCUUAUCCUGUGGGUCAGGCACUGCUGUUAUUUUCUUGUAACUUAAAAUUGCACUAGACAGCAUUAAUAUUAGUUUGGAUUGGAUUCUGAUUAGCAGUCACUGCUUUAGCUAUACUCUCCACCUCAGCCUCUCCACGGCCUUUAUGCUCAGUCCUGGUUGACCAAUGUAAACCUUCAAUGUGGUUUGUUCACUUGAAUCCGUGAAACGCAUGAA